AAAGCGGUGCGCUUUUUUUCGGCACGGGAUUUAAGGAGAAUAAGAUUGUAGUGUAAAAGUGUGUAAAGGUGUGUGGGGCCACAUUGUUUGUAGUGUAAAAUUAUUACCAAAAUAAUGCUUAUAAAUUUCUGCUUAUAAAUAAUGCUUCAUCCCUUCACAAUUCUUCACACCUCAAACAACUCUCUCUCAUCUCUCACUCUCUCUAACUUGAUUCUCUCUCUGUAAGCUAUUGUGAUGGCGACGAUGUGGAUGAUUGUGUGUGCGAUAAUUUUGGUGAUGGUCGGCGGCGAGCAGCCGGCAUGCGACAAGGUCCCCUUCACUCCACUUCUCAACGCUACUCAGAAAGGAGCAGGUUAAUUCAUUCACAAUUUUUUUUACAUGCAUUAAUUAAUUUCAACAUCUAAUUAAAACUACAUCUACUGAUUUAAUUAUAAAAGAUAAAAUCUAAAUUUUUUUUACCUUUUAUAAAACAUAUAAAUAUAUCAAUUUAAGAUAUUUUUACCCUUAUAUAUGUCGAGCAUUAGCGUAUUUUCUAAGAAUGCUCGACUCGCAAUGUUUGAGCACGUCCAACAUUGGAGUAUUUACCAUUACUUGCUAGACUUGCAGAAGUCGAGCAUAUCGAGCAUUAAUAUAUUUAUCACAAAUACACUAAUGCUCGACAUGCUCGAGUAAUGCAUGCAUAUCGAGCAUUAGUGUAUUUACAACUAGUCUAGUUGACGGAUGGAAAUUGCAGUGCCUUCUUUUUCAAUUUUGGGUUAGGCUGAGAAAGUAUUGGUCACCAAAUUCCACAGCCAAAUUGGGAAAUUUGACCAUGUUGGAGGCCUUUGCAGAUUGGUAUUUCGAUAGAAAUUCGGUGAUUACCUUGAUCAGCACAUAUGCUUCUCGAGUUUUGUUAAUGAUAUUUUAAGAAUUUUAAUUUGAAGUUAAUUGCAACUUGUAAGAGAGUUUUGGAUGUUAAAAUAAUGGUCCAUU